UUUUGUAGACAUUGGGGGGUCGUGAAGACUCUAUCAGUUAGUAUCUGUUCUCGGAAGGGCUAGGAUUAAUAUUGAAUAAUCAGACAUAGUACGCUAAGGUUGUAUGUCUAAAGGGAAACAGCCCAGAACAAGUGUUAAUAAGGUUCCAAAAUUAUUAUUAAGUGAAAUAAAGGUAGUUUAUGUUUUAUGCGAUCAGGAAAUGGGCUUAGAAGCGGCCAUUUUUUAAAGACCUCGUAACAGAGCACUGGUUUAUCCUAAUAUCUAGGAUAAGUUAUUAAGUAUUAUAAAAAAUACCCAAGAGACAUCGAGAAAAAAACGAGACAAUCUGUAAAAAAGGAGUUAGAAAAGAGUAUAGAAAAAAGUUCCGCAUGGGUUAUACUUUUUCUAGUGUCUAAAAAAAAGUUCAAGAAGAGUUAGACUUAUUUUUCGAGUGUCUAAAAAAAAGUUAAAGAAGAAUUAGACUUAUUUUUUUUUUAUAAUACUUUAAUUUAUACAUGGAUGUAAGCACCGACGAUACAACGGAUCUAAAUAAUAUACCGAGACCUUGUCCAUAUAUAUUAUAUAUAUAUUGUAGAAUGGGUAGCUGAACAGAGGGUAUAUUGGACUUUUUCUCCUGAAGGAUUAACAGAAAAAGUUAGUAUAUCGAAAACUUGUCCAUAAUAUAAUAUAGAUAUCGUGUAAUGGGGUAGCGGAACAUUGGGUAUAUCGCACUUUUUUUCUAGAAAAAAAAAUUAGAUUUCCCAAGUGAAAAUGCUGACAUGAGUAACGAUAAAGGGGACAAACCCCUCGCCUAAAGCUUAUGGCAUUUAGUUAAAGUAACGGCCUCUAAGUUUAUAAAUUUAUUUAAAAAAAGUUACAUAGUAGAUUAAAAAGAGAAGAGAUCUUUUUUCUUACCUAACCUAAAGGAUUAAACGAUGAGCAAAACUCAAGAUACAUAUAAAUAACACUUAUACAUAGUUACUUGUAGCAAUGUUAAAGUGAUAAGUGUUCUGGAAAAUAGUAUCAUGCCCUUAUAUGAAUAAAUAAACUGAAACAGAAUGAACUAAAUAUAAGGGUAACCGUACCUAAAAACUACCACAAGUAAGCAAGUAGAG
rnacentral:rRNA from 1 species